AUUGAACGCUGGCGGCAGGCCUAACACAUGCAAGUCGGACGGUAGCACAGGGGAGCUUGCUCCUCGGGUGACGAGUGGCGGACGGGUGAGUAAUGUCUGGGGAUCUGCCCGAUAGAGGGGGAUAACCACUGGAAACGGUGGCUAAUACCGCAUAAUGUCGCAAGACCAAAGAGGGGGACCUUCGGGCCUCCCACUAUCGGAUGAACCCAGAUGGGAUUAGCUAGUAGGCGGGGUAACGGCCCACCUAGGCGACGAUCCCUAGCUGGUCUGAGAGGAUGACCAGCCACACUGGAACUGAGACACGGUCCAGACUCCUACGGGAGGCAGCAGUGGGGAAUAUUGCACAAUGGGCGCAAGCCUGAUGCAGCCAUGCCGCGUGUAUGAAGAAGGCCUUCGGGUUGUAAAGUACUUUCAGCGGGGAGGAAGGCGAUGUGGUUAAUAACCGCGUCGAUUGACGUUACCCGCAGAAGAAGCACCGGCUAACUCCGUGCCAGCCGCCGCCAGUAA
rnacentral:rRNA from 1 species